CGCGUAGGUGGUUGAUUGAGUCGGAUGUGAAAGCCCUGGGCUUAACCUGGGAACUGCAUUCGAUACUGGUCGACUAGAGUACGAGAGAGGGAGGUAGAAUUCCACGUGUAGCGGUGAAAUGCGUAGAUAUGUGGAGGAAUACCGGUGGCGAAGGCGGCCUCCUGGCUUGAUACUGACACUGAGGUGCGAAAGCGUGGGGAGCAAACA
rnacentral:rRNA from 1 species